rnacentral:lncRNA from 1 species
UGGCUGUGGACAACUUCCCAGAAGUGGACAAGGCCAUGCUGAUUGACAGGAUAGUGAGGCUGCAGAAAGCGCAUGCCCGGAAGAAUGAGAAGAUAGAGUUCAUGGAGGACCACAUCAAACAGCUGGUUGAAGAAAUAAGAAAAAAAACCAAGAAAACCUGCAAACACUUGGAACAGAAAUAGAACGCCUUAUUAAACACCAGCAUGAACUGGAGCAGAGGACGAAGAAGGCCUAACACAAAGUUCUUGCCUAGUAGACAAACAAGCCACAGAGCAGUAGGUGCCACUGCCCAGUGUCCUGAAACCGUCCCUGCUUUCUGUCAACUAAUCAAAAAUUGGUUUUCUUCCCUGUGUAGAGGUGCCCUUUUAUGAAUGGCUGUGAGGUGUGUGUGCCUGAGCUCACUGAGCUCAGCAAAGGUCAUUUCUCUGCGGUGCAGUCAGAUGCCUUGUCACUGACUCAGAAUGGAAUCUGCUUAUUGUCCCAAAGUGCUACACAUUAGUUACAAGGGUUAAAAGCCUUACCACAGUCUCUACCGUAGUGACAUCAACCUUUGAAAAGUAUUCCUGAAAAGAGGGAGGUGUUCAUCCAACUGCUCAUUAUUUCUGCAAAAUGAAAAGAAACCUAGAGGAAUUAUAAAGCUUUUCAGUUUUGAUCUGGGCACAGUGAUCACCCCUGUAGUCCUAGCUACUUCGAAGGCUAAAGAGGAUCUCUUGAGCUCAUGGGUUCAA